UACGUAGGGGGCUAGCGUUGUUCGGAAUUAUUGGGCGUAAAGCGCACGUAGGCGGCUGUUCAAGUCAGAGGUGAAAGCCUGGAGCUCAACUCCAGAACUGCCUUUGAAACUAGACAGCUUGAAUCAUGGAGAGGUGAGUGGAAUUCCGAGUGUAGAGGUGAAAUUCGUAGAUAUUCGGAAGAACACCAGUGGCGAAGGCGGCUCACUGGACAUGUAUUGACGCUGAGGUGCGAAAGCGUGGGGAGCAAACAGG
rnacentral:rRNA from 1 species